rnacentral:lncRNA from 1 species
GACAGGAAAAAUCUGUUGACUCCACACAAUUCCGACUCAGCACACUUCCUCGCCGGAUGUUUCCCUCAAUGCCGGUGCUUUCUUUUUAUAGUCUUUCCUCUGGCUUCAGAUGUUUGUGUGAUCAGAUGGGGGAUGGUGCCCAGUGACAGAGACAGGGACCUGGGCGGGCAGGUCCCCUGCUCUGUCAUGUCACCCCAGGACCUGAGUGUCUGAAGGAGAGCAAGAGGACCCUCUGGGCCUGUCCCCUCAUACUCAUUCCUCCGAGUGUCCUGCACCUGGUGGACUCUGAGAGAUGGGGUGAAAAAGGCAUUUCCUGACCAUCAAUUUGUUGUUACUUUGAUGAAGAUUAUCUUAAAGAGUUAUGUUCCCCUUUAGCAGUAUUUGGACAUUCGGCCAAUUUUUGUUGACCAGAUGUAAGACUAUGUUGUAGAGAAGGCAAAAUGGUGUCAUUGAAUUAUUCAUUUAUUCAUCUUUUCAUUCAUUCAACAAGUACUUAAUAAGUGCCAGGCAGGGUGGUUGCUAUGGGAGUAAGAAGGAGAAGGAGCCCCAGCUGCUGCCCUCAGCGUGGUCACAUCUGUCAGGAUGUGAAGGUUGCAGGCAGCCCCACAGGGAGGCUGGCUGGAGAUCAGGGCAGCGAAGAGUGUUUACCACAGGGGUUGCCUCUGGGCAUAGGGAAAGAAUGGGGGCUCUGUGGGAGCAGAGGGCCCCUAACCCAACUUGGAGCAGGGAGGAAGCAGGGGGGUGGUACUGGAUUAAGUUAAUUCAUUCAUUUCAACAGAUGUUACUGAGUUCAUACCACAUGCCAGGCACCUCUGCUGAGACCCAAAGGCUCCAUAGGAGUUUGGCAAGUGGAAAGAGAAUGAAGGUCUGGGCAAGGGGUGGGGAGGUUUUCAGGCAGAAGCACUGCACACUGAAAGGCUGGAAGAGAAGGUAGAGUUUCAGAAAGACUGGAGAAUGGAGUAGGGGAUGGGUGAGAUAUCACGGCCAGACCCUAUAGGCCAUUGGAAGGGAGAGGCAACAGAUCAAGUCCUGGGAGGCGGAGUUCUAGUUCAAGGCCAUUUGUAGCUUAUUGUAUAGCAUUAGACAGGUUUUUAGACCUCCUCAGACCUCAGUUUCCUCAUCUCUAAUAGGGGGCUAGAAAUACCCACACGCCUUCUUCUCAGUGUUGUCACGAUUAAAUGGUUUGAAAAAGUUAAAAAUCCUCUGCAAAAGCAAGGAGUUUGCACUGUUAUUCCUAGAAACACUGCUUCCUCCUCCUGGGUCCAUCCCCAUUCCUCCCUUAGGAGGUCCACCAUGCCCCUCUGUGCAGCUUGAGGUAGGAAGUGUCAACCUCAGAGGAGAGUUGGAAGAGGAGAUGGCCAGGACUGGGGUUUCACUGUGACUUGGGAGACUCGGGGUCUUAUUGCCUGCCUCAGGGAAGAUCCCACCUCCCAGCCCAGGCCCAGAAGCCCUCCUAAGAUACCUGCCACCCUUUGCUCAAGUGACAGCUGCCUUUUCAUGACAUGACUCCCUACAUGCCAAGCCCUAUGCUGAGCACUGUCAUUCAGGGUCACUUCACAGUUACAGCCCAGACUCGAAUCAGUCAGACUCAGGUUCAAAUCCUAAAUAUGUCCCUGCCCCAGUUCCCAUCAGUGUGGCCUUGAGGAAUUACUUAAGCAUUCUGAGAAAAUUACUCAGUUUCCUCAACAGUAAAAAAAGUGCAUAUUAAUGAGACCCAGGUCAUAUGGUGGGUUACGAGGUUUAAAUGAGCUUAUUAAUAAAUCCCAUGAUAAACAGUGAUUGUCCAGUGGUGUAUAAUCUCAUUUAAUUCUUACAACAGCCUAAGGGAAGAGAUACCAUUAUGGCCAUUUUGCAGAGGUGGAAUUGGAGGCUCACAGGGGCUACACAGAAAUUAGUGGGAGGGCUGGAAUUUACACUCAGAUCUGACUCUAUGUGCUGCUGGAAAGAUAUGAGCAUUGGGCAAGUUGCCUGUUACCCUCAAGUUGAUCCCAAAUGGGCACCUUUCUUUCUGUCACCUCAGCGGGGUCACCCACAGGGCCUAUUCUCUGUUGUCCUGUCUACCAGCAGCCAGCACAGUGUUCAGCACAGAGUUUAUCCAAAAAGCACCUGAUAAAUGGAUGGAUGAAUGGAAGGAUAAAUGAAUGGUUGGCUCUGGCAGCCUCUGGGUCUGCACCGAUCCCAGGGCAAGAUUCCUAAGAGAACAGCUGGGCCAUCUCCAGGUGGCUUCCUGAGGAGGGAAUAGGGAAGGAAACUGUGUUUUGCUUCACAGGAAACCUGAGCUGAUAGCCUGGCCAAACAGAAGUGUGCCUUGGGCGGGCAGCCUGGCACAGUGAAAAUAUCUGAGGUUCACAGAAGCAGAUAUGGGUGUGAGAUCAGGCAUCAUCCCUGGAAAGGUUUCCCCACUUGUGUCUAGAAAAUCCCAGGUCCUUAGACAUUUUGACACUCAUCAUCCCAUUUAGCCCUCACACUCUAAGGAGGCAGACACAGGGUAAGUUUGGUCUCAUAAUCCCCAUUUUAUAGAUGAGGAAAAUGAGGCUCAGAUGUUGAAGGACGUGUACAAGGUUGCCCAGCUCCUAAGUGGCUGUGUUGAAAUCUGAACUCCAAUCUGCCUAACUGCUAAGUUCUAAGGUAAUUUCCACUGCCCCAUCCGCAGGCCCAGCCGGAAAGCUCUGGGGUCUCAGACAAAUUAUUUGCAACACCUGGGUUUGGGUGCAAUGAUGCCUAUGCUGGCCUUCUUCAUAGGGAAGUUGCCCAGAUGAGAUGAAGGCAGGCAAAUAGUGGAGAUGGAGAAGUGCUUUGAGGAAGUAAUAGUAAUAAUUUGCUGAGUACUGACUACAUGUCAGAUGGACACUGUUCUACAGGCAUUAAGAGCAUUCACUCAUUUUAUUUUCAAGCAAACUUAGAAGAUGGGUGGUGUUAACAUAGACAUCUUCAACAGAGAUGUUAACUUCCUCUGUGGUUCAGAGCUAGGAAGAAGUGGAGCCAGGAUUUGAACCCAGAUAAGACAACUAAGGCCCAGAGACAGUAAGGAAUUUGCCUAGGAUCACACAGCUAAGUUCAGCCGAUCACAAAGCUGUGCCCUGAACCAUUGCUACCCAAAGCAUCAGAAAGUGCCAGAUGGACAUGAACAAAGCCAGGAUCAACCCGAAGAUGCCCAACAGUACAGCCAGGCAGAUCACCGUCAGCAUCGACAUGCUCAAGGC